AGUGAACGCUGGCGGUAGGCCUAACACAUGCAAGUCGAACGGCAGCACAGUAAGAGCUUGCUCUUACGGGUGGCGAGUGGCGGACGGGUGAGGAAUACAUCGGAAUCUACUUUUUCGUGGGGGAUAACGUAGGGAAACUUACGCUAAUACCGCAUACGAUCUACGGGUGAAAGCAGGGGAUCUUGGGACCUUGCGCGAUUGAAUGAGCCGAUGUCGGAUUAGCUAGUUGGCGGGGUAAAGGCCCACCAAGGCGACGAUCCGUAGCUGAUCUGAGAGGAUGAUCAGCCACACUGGAACUGAGACACGGUCCAGACUCCUACGGGAGGCAGCAGUGGGGAAUAUUGCACAAAGGGCGCAAGCCUGAUCCAGCCAUGCCGCGUGAGUGAAGAAGGCCUUCGGGUUGUAAAGCCCUUUUGUUGGGAAAGAAAAGCAGCAGGUUAAUCCCCCGCUGUUCUGACGGUACCCAAAGAAUAAGCACCGGCUAACUUCGUG
rnacentral:rRNA from 1 species